UACAGAGGUCUCAAGCGUUGUUCGGAUUCAUUGGGCGUAAAGGGUGCGUAGGUGGCGCCGUAAGUCAGGUGUGAAAUUUCGGAGCUUAACUCCGAAACUGCAUUCGAUACUGCGGUGCUUUGAGGACUGGGAGAGGAGACUGGAAUUCAUGGUGUAGCAGUGAAAUGCGUAGAGAUCAUGAGGAAGACCAGUGGCGAAGGCGGGUCUCUGGACAGUUCCUGACACUGAGACACGAAGGCCAGGGGAGCAAACGGG
rnacentral:rRNA from 1 species